AGGGCUUGACAUAUACAUGAUAGAACCUAGAGAUAGGGAAAAGGAGGAAACUUGUUUCCUACAUGUAUACAGGUGGUGCAUGGUU
rnacentral:rRNA from 1 species